UUGCUUUUAUAGUGAGCCAACCUCUCCCAGUCCCUAUUCAAGCCCAAAUUGAUGGUGUUAAGUCAGCAAAUGACUUGUAGCUCGCAGUUUCUCAUUGAAGUCUGUUUCUGAAGUUUUUUUUGGUUGAAGAAUGGCUACAUUUAAAUCUGUUGAUCUGUUUUUGAAUGACCAGAGAGAUUGAAGUGUU